rnacentral:misc_RNA from 1 species
AAUAGAGCAGAGACUCGAGUAGAGAGUGACAUAGUGUAUUCUAUGGCGAUGUCUGCUUCCUCCUCCCCUGCGUCAGACCCCAAAUUCGAUCUCAUAAAGACGGUACCCAUCUUCUCUUACUUAUAUCUAUCUCUACUGUCUUGCACAUGUAUCUGCUUAUUUCUUGUUUCUUUUAUCUGUCAAAGCCAUGAAGUUGCCCUAGUAGAGCUGAACAAUCUUUCAUCUUCUCGGGUAAGCUCUUCGCUCUAUCUCCACUACCAAGCUUGCCUUUUGCUAUUGUUCUUGCCUUCGUAGCUCACUAGUUCUCUGGUUGAUAUUAUCUUUGGUUGGUCUAUUUUGUAAUUUCAAUGUGAACGGUUGAAUAUGUUAAUUGGGUCAAUGUUUGAAGCCAAACAUAUGGAUAAGAAUGGGCGUAUCUUGUGUGUUGUGAAAAUUACAUUUUCUGGGUUUUUGUCAACCCGCAUUUAGGUUUACUGGGCAUUAGCAUGGAAAUAGAGUUUUGCUAAGUUGAAGGCUGUACUGAGUUAUGCAAAGAUUACACAUUUACAUUGGCAGUAGUCUAUUAUUUAUAUGUUGAUCCUUUCAAUUUUCUCUUUUUUGGGUCAUUGGGCUCUGGUUCGAACUUAAGAUUUCACAACCCUAGUAAAUGAUUCCAGACUUAUUUGAUGAAAAGCUUGGGCUUACUAUCAUUUAAUAGAUGCAAGGUUACCAUGAGAAAAGUAACUUCUUAAACAUGUUAUUCAGAGGAUAUUAAAAAUUAGUUUAA